rnacentral:lncRNA from 1 species
ACUCUCACUCGAUCACAAGUACCUUCCCUUUCUCUUUCUUUAUUGCUCUCUCCUUUUUUAAUCAAAAGCUUCUCUCAAUAUCCUAACUGCUUCACUAAUUCCAAGUUUCAUUCCAAUAACAGACCCAGCAAUUGUGGGUGAAUCAUUAUUUCAUUUUUCAUUCUAGUAUAAUCUAAUUUUGGGGGCUCAUGAUUGAAAUUGCAAUGAAAAAUAGAAUUAGAUUUAUUAAAUGAAAAUUAGAAAAGCGAAUCAGCCAAAUAUGUUUGGUUCAAUAUUGGAAUAAAAAUUAGAAUGAAAUAUAGGAUUUCGAGAGAGUGUUUUGAUUAAAAGAGAGGCAAGUAACCAAGGAAGAGGAGGGAAAAAUAUUUGUGAGAGAAGUUUUAAGUGGUUUACUUCCAAAUGGAUCAAAUUUCGAAAUUCAAAAUCGAAUUGAGCGAUAAAUGGAUUGGAUCAACUCUCAUUCCAUAACAGAAUAAAAAUCGAAAUUUAUUUCCUAAUGAACAAGCAAUAAUU